GCCGGGUGUGGUGGUGCGUGCCUGUAGUCCCAGCUACUCAGGAGGCUGAGGUGGGAGGAUAGCUUGAGCCCAGGAGUUCUGGGCUGUAGUAUGCUAUGCCAAUCAGGUGUCCGCACUAAGUUUGACAUCAAUAUGGUGACCUCCCGGGAGCGGAGGACCACCAGGUUGCCAGAGGAGGAGUGAACCGGCCCAGGUUGAAAACGGAGCAGGUCAAAACUCCUGUGCAGAUUGUUGUGGGAUCACGCCUGUGAAUAGCCGCUGCACUCCAGCCUGGGCAACAUAGUGAGACCCCAUCUCU
rnacentral:SRP_RNA from 1 species